GUCAUAUUUAUGGGGUCACACUUCUGGGUCACACUUAUGGGUCGCACUUAUGGGUGGCUGUUAUAGGGUCACACUUCUGGGUCACACUUAUGGGGUCACACUUAUGGGUUACACUUAUGGGGUCACACUUAUGGGGCCACACUUAUGGGGUCACACUUCUGGGUCACACUUAUGGGUCACACUUAUGGGUCACACUUAUGGGAUCUCACUUAUGGGGUCACACUUAUGGGGCCACACUUAUGGGGUCACACUUAUGGGGUGGCAUUUAUGGGGUCACACUUAUGGGUCACACUUAUGGGUCACACUUGUGGGUCACACUUGUGGGUCACACUUGUGGGACCGCCCUCCUUUUUAUUCCACCGGCCCCAUAAAAACUCCUCCAAAAUAAAUAACAGCAGCCCCCCCUUCCCUCCUCCGCUCCUCCUUCAAUUCCGCCACUUAAUUACCGCUCAUUAACUUCAGAAAUCAUUAAGAACCCCGUCGGAGAUCGCUAAUUACCGACCCCCCCCCCCCCCAUUAAAAACCCCACAGUUGCGUUUUGGGGUCGCUGCGCCUUAUGGGGUUUCUCCUUUCUCCUUAUGGGGGGGGGGCGGACGCGUUAAGGAGCGGGGUAAUUAAGGAAGGAGCGGGGUAAUUAAUGAAGGAGCGGGGUAANNNNNNNNNNNNNNNNNNNAUUAAGGACGCGGUCAGGCGAUGAAGCAGACGGGGCCGAAGGUCGCGGCGCCGCUGGGGUCGGACAGCGGGAACAGAUCCGGGCGGGGCGACCACAGCUCAUGGCUCUGCUGCCCCACUGCGGCCUGCGGGGCAACACGGCGGUCAGACGGGGGUCAGACG
rnacentral:lncRNA from 1 species